ensembl:lncRNA
AAAAAAGACAUCUUAUUUGCUUUUCAGUAUGAAAGUGAAAAAGUACAAAAGUAACCUUAAAAAAGAUAAGUUACUGACACCUUCAAAUUAGUAGAACUGUCUGAUGUUAACAUUAAUUUAUAAAUCUGUUACUGUAAGAGGUUCCUGGUAGGAAAUUUUUAAGAGGUCCCUGGAAAAAAGUGAAAGUGAAAGUUGCUCAGUCCUGUCAGACUCUUUGCCACCCCAUGAACUAUACAGUCCAUGAGGAAUUCUCUAGGCCAGAAUAUUGGAAUGGGGAAAGGCUGCCCACUCCAGUAUUCUGGCCUGGAGAAUUCCAUGGGCUAGUCCAUGGGGUUGCAAAGAGUUGGACACAACUGAGCGACUUUCACUUUACUUCACUUCAAUAUGGG